ACGUGCGAAGCAGAAGCCAGGAAUCACUUUUCACGUGUUUCCGAAAGACAAGACGCUGCGUGACGCAUGGCAGCGUGCUGUUCGGAGGGAUCGCUGGGAGCCUAAGAAUGCGGACGUUCUCUGCUCGGAGCACUUUGAAGCCAACUGCUUUGACAGGACGGGCCAAACGACCAGACUGCGACCAGGGAGCAUUCCUACCAUUUUUCCUGCGUUCCCUGCGCAUCUCCAGAAACCAGCGAAAAGAAAGCGAGAGGCCCCUAAGUGUCGGACUGCGCUGUCACCUGUCGUCAGUGCUGAGGCAGCG